rnacentral:lncRNA from 1 species
UGAUGAUUUACUUCUUAUUCAGAUUUUACUAUUUAUCCCAUAAUUUUUCCUUGAUAGCAAAGAAAAACCUUAAUAACAAAUGAGAAGUUUGUAUGUUGCAUUCACUUGUCUCAUAUUAUACAUAUAUAUUAGACUCCUUUAAUGUGGAACAGGUCCUCAGGUUUUGUUGUUGCUGUUUGUUUUUGGUACUGGGGAUUGAACCCAUGGCACUUAACCACUGAGCCACUUCCUCAGCCCCCUCCCCCUCCUUUUUAAAGGUAAAGUUCUACCUGAAUUGCUUAGGGCCUCACUAAGUUGCUAAGGCUGGCUUUGAAUUGUGAUUCUCUUGCCUCAGCCUCCUGAGCUGCUGGGAUUAUAGGCAUGCACCAUCGUGCAUGGCCUAUGUCCUCAUUUCUUUGUGUUUAAUUUUUGAAGAAUCUGUGCCAGUUAAUAUGAGUUUGAAUAAAUUUUCUUCACAGUUUAGUUCAGGUAAUGCACUUUUGGUGGGUGUACAGCAGAAGUCCUGUGUUUUUCUUAGUGCAUCAGACUUGGGAAUACAAUAUUAGUUUGUCCCAUUGAUGCUAACUUUGACCACAAGAAUGAGAGCUGCAGUUUCUCCUUUAAUCAGUUGUGAUUGCCCAAUGGUGAUUUCUCUACCUCUGUCAUCCUUGAUGUAUCUUAGUUGGCUUCUAUUAUUUUCUUUCGUGCUCAGAUUGUCCUAUAUUUGGCCAGUGUAAGCCCUUUCAAGCUGCCACCAUGUCUUUUUGACAUAUCCAACAUCAUUGUUUGAGUAGAAUUUAAUUUGGGGUCCACAUGGAUUUCCCAGGUUCAUAUUGGCCCAUCUUGCACUUUUCCUGGUCUGCCCUAAAAUCAGCAUUUCUUAUGGAGCUUGGAUGCCUUUAGUGGAGCAUGGAAUUUUGAAAUGCCAUGCUAGUCUAUCAAGGUGUCAUUGCUUGUUAGUUUUCACAGCAGAACUAGAAGAUAGAAAUAUAUAUGUGCACACAGCCACACACAUCUCUAUCACUAAUAACCUUUUACGCAUGCCUUAAAUCCAUGAAUUCACUGUGAUAUCUCUAAUCCCAACCCAAUAUCCUGUAGGUCUGUCUGUUCUCCCUUUCUAUACAUACAUCUCCAUUCACCAUACUGUGAAAAUACAGGAUGCCAUCAUCCCCAACAUAUUGACUUAUUUGUUCAGUUCUGUAAUACACAGAAAAUAGUUGAAGAACUGCUAAGAGAAAGUUUUCUAAAGAGAAUUCAAUCCUGUAUGGUUAGAACUAUUGUCUUUGGAUUUAGGGCACAUAGUCAAGUACUAUGUUCAAAAUUUCAGCCCUCCCCCACUCAUUCCUGCCAUCGGUGUGGUUUGUUAUUAAUUUGAAAUGUUAUUGGGUUUAUUUAUUUCUGUUUGUAUUCCAUUUUAGGGCACACUCAUUGUUUCUCUCCUUCCUUCUCCUACUCCCCUUUUUACCUCGCUUCUCUUCCCAUUUCUUUUCCCUUCCUCUCUACCUUCUCUUUUCCAUUUUUUUCUUUCCCUUCCUUUCCUUCCCUUGGCCCUCUUCCUUCUUCCUUUCUUCCUUUCAUGUGUAAUACAUUUAACAUGGUUACAAAAAUUAGAAUGGUUUACAAAUACUUAAAAAAAUGACAUCCUGCCUUCUCUAAAUCUUUCUGUCCUUUCUAUCCCCUUCUAACUUGCCUCCUGUAAUGUUACCAAAUUCAUUAGUCUAGGUUUUCUUGCCUUUAUUUCUUUUUGCACAAAAUAUGUAUAUUUUCAUAUUUCCUCUUCCUUCUACAAAGGGUAAUAUACCACGAAUACUCUUGCACUUUUCUUAACUUUCCUAGACGAUGUAUCUGCUGGUGAAUGUUCCACAUCAAAUUCCUAGAGAUUAUACUCACAGAAGUAAGACUUCAUUGUCUAUACUCAUAGUUUAUUCAACCUCUUUAUGUAUGACCAUAUACAUUCCAAUAUAUGUCAUUAAAACUAUGCUGCCAUGCUGAAUUUUCAGGUGUCUUGAAUCUUUGCUAGUGGGAAAAAAUGAGAAAAGGUAUUUGGUAUUUUAAAGUUCUUCUACUUUAGGAAAUAUUAAAUAUUCUUUAAGGAUCAUGUGUGUCUGUGUUUAAAAUUGUUCAUGUCUUUACCCAUUUUAUUGUCAAGUUUUUCCUUUUUGAUAGUUUUGAAUGUCCUCGUAUCCCCUAGAAAAUCACUGGUAAUGAAAUGUGCAGCUAGGAUUGAAAAUAGCUGCCUUAGUAGGAGCUGCUCUGUUCUUACAAAAACUUCAUUACUUUGGCCACAAUUUCAGUCCUUUCCCUCUGUGUGUGUGUUUACCCAAAAUCAAUAAAAGCAUG